AACAACUCACCUGCCGAAUGAAGUAGCCCUGAAAAUGGAUGACGCUUAAGCGGGUAGCCGAUACUACGCCGUCUAGAAAAUGAUUUUUUUAGAUGAGUAGGGGGGCGUGGUGAUCGUAUCGAAGCACUGCGUGCGAACGCGUGUGGAACGGUCACUAGUGCAGAUCUUGGUGGUAGUAGCAAAUAUUCAAGUGAGAACCUUGAAGGGCGAAGCGGGGAAGGGUUCCAUGCGAACAUUGAUUGGGCAUGGGUGAGUCGUACCUAAGCCGAGUGGCAAUUGCUUACUCACGCGGCGAAAGGGAAGCGGGUUGAAAUUCCCGCACACGGAUGUGGAAGCGGCGACGCAUUACUGGGGCGGUGACGUUGGCAGUGGCGCUGGGCAGAGUUUUCUUUUCUGUUUAACCGCCUGACGCUUGCACUGUGGAAUCCGCUUGUCGGGAGAAACAGGCAAGGCACGGGUAGAGCGCCGGGCUUUUUCCGGCGUCCAGCUCGCCACUGACGGCCCUUGAAAAACUGUCCUCAGAUAUUAAACUCCACGCCGUGGCGUACCGAUAACCGCAUCAGGUCCCCAAGGUGAACAGCCUCUGCUCGAUAUGAAAAAU
rnacentral:rRNA from 1 species